UACGUAGGGGGCAAGCGUUGUCCGGAUUCAUUGGGCGUAAAGAGCGUGUAGGCGGCCAGGCAGGUCCGCUGUGAAAACUCGAGGCUCAACCUCGAGAUGUCGGUGGAAACCGUCUGGCUAGAGUCCGGAAGAGGAGAGUGGAAUUCCUGGUGUAGCGGUGAAAUGCGCAGAUAUCAGGAGGAACACCAAUUGCGAAGGCAGCUCGCUGGGACGUAACUGACGCUGAGACGCGAAAGCGUGGGGAGCGAACAGG
rnacentral:rRNA from 1 species